rfam:Dipodomys ordii contig_27065, whole genome shotgun sequence.
GGGAAUGUUGCUUAGUGGUAGAGUGCUUGCCUUGCAUGCAUGAGGCCCUGGGUUCAAUUCCUCAGCACCCA